AUUGAACGCUGGCGGCAUGCCUUACACAUGCAAGUCGAACGGCAGCACGGGAGCAAUCCUGGUGGCGAGUGGCGAACGGGUGAGUAAAGUAUCGGAACGUGCCCAGUCGUGGGGGAUAACGUAGCGAAAGUUACGCUAAUACCGCAUACGAUCUAUGGAUGAAAGCGGGGGAUCGCAAGACCUCGCGCGAUUGGAGCGGCCGAUAUCAGAUUAGGUAGUUGGUGGGGUAAAGGCUCACCAAGCCGACGAUCUGUAGCUGGUCUGAGAGGACGACCAGCCACACUGGGACGGAGACACGGCCCAGACUCCUACGGGAGGCAGCAGUGGGGAAUUUUGGACAAUGGGCGCAAGCCUGAUCCAGCCAUGCCGCGUGCAGGAUGAAGGCCUUCGGGUUGUAAACUGCUUUUGUACGGAACGAAAAGGUUUGACUUAAUACGUUGGACUCAUGACGGUACCGUAAGAGUAAGCACCGGCUAACUACGUGCCAGCAGCCGCGGUAA
rnacentral:rRNA from 1 species